GAUGAACGCUGACAGCAUGCUUAACACAUGCAAGUCUUUGGCGAAGCUGUGCUUGCACAGCCUAGCCAAGGCGGACGGGUGAGUAACGCGUCAGGAACUUGCCCUGCAGUCAGGGAUAACAGACGGAAACGACUGAUAAGACCUGGUAAAGUCAGGCGGACUCAUGUCCAGCCUGAUGAAAAGAGAUGCUGCAGGAGAGCCUUGCGUCCUAUUAGCUUGUUGGUGGGGUAACGGCCCACCAAGGCGAUGAUAGGUAGCCGGCCUGAGAGGGUGGACGGCCACAAGGGGACUGAGAUACGGCACUUACUCCUACGGGAGGCAGCAGUGGAGAAUAUUGGAAAAGGGGGGCAACCCUGAUCCAGCAAUUCUGUGUGCACGAUGAAGGUUUUCGGAUUGUAAAGUGCUUUCAGCAGGGAAGAAAAAAAUGACGGUACCUGCAGAAGAAGCGACGGCUAAAUACGUG
rnacentral:rRNA from 1 species